rnacentral:rRNA from 1 species
CGGAUUAGCGGCGGACGGGUGAGUAACACGUGAGUAACCUGCCUUAGACAUUGGGAUAGCCUCGGGAAACCGGGAUUAAUACCAAAUAAAAUCAUAAUGACACAUGUCAUAACGAUCAAAACUCCGGUGGUCUAAGAUGGACUCGCGUCCCAUUAGCUAGUUGGUAGAGUAAAAGCCUACCAAGGCGACGAUGGGUAGCCGGCCUGAGAGGGCGAACGGCCACAUUGGAACUGAGAAACGGUCCAA